UCCGGUGACUUUACGCGUGAGGAAACACUCGUUCCCAUUCCGAACACGACAGUUAAGCUCCCGCGGCCGAUGAUAGUGCCCACCAGCGUGAAAGUAGGUUAUCGCCGGAC
rnacentral:rRNA from 16 species